rnacentral:rRNA from 1 species
UACGUAGGGUGCAAGCGUUAAUCGGAAUUACUGGGCGUAAAGCGUGCGCAGGCGGUUGUGCAAGACAGAUGUGAAAUCCCCGGGCUCAACCUGGGAACUGCAUCUGUGACUGCAUAGCUAGAGUACGGUAGAGGGGGAUGGAAUUCCACGUGUAGCAGUGAAAUGCGUAGAUAUGCGGAGGAACACCGAUGGCGAAGGCAAUCCCCUGGACCUGUACUGACGCUCAUGCACGAAAGCGUGGGGAGCAAACAGG